UCCCUGGUGGCUUAGAGGGUAAACCAUCUGCCUGCAAUGCAGGAGACCCAGGUUCAAUCCCUUGUCGGGAAG
rnacentral:tRNA from 1 species